rnacentral:misc_RNA from 1 species
GUGCUCAGUAGCACGUGUUGACGCCCACCCUCGUCGACGUACCCGCUGGUGCCGC